rnacentral:rRNA from 1 species
AUUGAACGCUGGCGGCAGGCCUAACACAUGCAAGUCGAGCGGAUGAUGGGAGCUUGCUCCUUGAUUCAGCGGCGGACGGGUGAGUAAUGCCUAGGAAUCUGCCUGGUAGUGGGGGACAACGUUUCGAAAGGAACGCUAAUACCGCAUACGUCCUACGGGAGAAAGCAGGGGACCUUCGGGCCUUGCGCUAUCAGAUGAGCCUAGGUCGGAUUAGCUUGUUGAUGAGGUAAUGGCUCACCAAGGCGACGAUCCGUAACUGGUCUGAGAGGAUGUGCAUUCACACGGGAACGGAGCAACGGUCCAGACGCCUACGGGGGCCAGUGGUGGGAAAUUUUGGACAAUGGGCGAAAGCCUGAUCCAGCCAUGCCGCUUGUGUGAAGAAGGUCUUCGGAUUGUAAAGCACUUUAAGUUGGGAGAAAGUUUUGUAGAUUAUUACUCUGCAAUUUUGACGUUACCGACAGAAUAAGCACCGGCUAACUCUGUGCCAGCAGCCGCGGUAAUAC